UACGGGGGGUGCGAGCGUUGUCCGGAAUCACUGGGCGUAAAGGGCGCGUAGGUGGUUUUGAUAAGGGUGUGGUGAAAGUCCGGGGCUCAACUCCGGAUCUGCCGUGCCGACUGUCAAACUCGAGGGCUGUAGAGGCAGACGGAAUUCCGGGUGUAGCGGUGGAAUGCGUAGAGAUCCGGAGGAAGACCGGUGGCGAAGGCGGUCUGCUGGGCAGUUCGUGACACUGAGGCGCGACGAGCGUGGGGA
rnacentral:rRNA from 1 species